AGGUAAAGAGCAGCUUGUUGCACGUGCGCUGUCAGUUUUAAGCAGCUCUGGCAAAGACGUGCAUGCCUGAUGGAGCUUUGCAUAUUUAAGAAGAGAUAAAAGUGUAGCUUCCACUCAAGUGAAAAAUCUUAUCUGCAGACAGCCUUUCCCAUCAGGGACACCUUGACGAGGACUGCGUGACAGAGCUUUCCGUGUUUCACAACCAGAGCAGGGAGAGAAUAUUGGAAUUAAUAUCAGAGGCAAAAUAGACUCAACCUAAAGAUGUCUGGAUGAACAACCGAUUUCUUGCACUGGCUGAACUCCGUGCUUUGAAAUGUUCUGAUACCGGAGAGAAAACUUCCAGUGCAUCGCUCAGCCAGGCUAUAAAAUAAGCGUGGGGGACUUGCUUUUCACAAACUUUGGAAGAAGUGAAUCAGUUCCUGUCCCAUUGGAAUAUAAAUGACAAAAGCUGAGCUGACUACCUGUAGAGGAAUUGUACCAAUGUGUUAGUGGUGAUAUUCUAACCUGGUAGAAGAGACUUACAACAUGAGGUGGACUCCGGCCUUAAGGUGAAUCUGAAAAUUGUCCUUUGAAAAUCAUUUUUUUUUAUUCUACUGUAUAGAAUGAAGACUUGGGAUAAAAUCUUUCACAUAACUGUAGCAGAA